rnacentral:rRNA from 1 species
CCUACGGGAGACAGCAGUGAGGAAUAUUGGUCAAUGGGCGUAAGCCUGAACCAGCCAAGUCGCGUGAGGGAUGAAGGUUCUAUGGAUCGUAAACCUCUUUUAUAAGGGAAUAAAGUGCGGGACGUGUCCCGUUUUGCAUGUACCUUAUGAAUAAGGAUCGGCUAACUCCGUGCCAGCAGCCGCGGUAAUACGGAGGAUCCGAGCGUUAUCCGGAUUUAUUGGGGUUAAAGGGUGCGUAGGCGGCCUUUUAAGUCAGCGGUGAAAGUUUGUGGCUCAACCAUAGAAUUGCCGUUGAGACUGGGAGACUUGAGUAUGUUUGAGGCAGGCGGAAUGCGUGGUGUAGCGGUGAAAUGCUUAGAUAUCACGCAGAACCUCGAUUGCGAAGGCAGCCUGCCAAGCCAUGACUGACGCUGAUGCACGAAAGCGUGGGGAUCAAACAGGAUUAGAUACCCCUGUAGUC